rnacentral:rRNA from 1 species
UUGGAGGGCAAGUCUGGUGCCAGCAGCCGCGGUAAUUCCAGCUCCAAUAGCGUAUAUUAAAGUUGUUGCAGUUAAAAAGCUCGUAGUUGAGUUUCGGGGUCAGUAGGUUGGUCAUGCCACUGGUAUGUACUGGUCUCACUGAUUCCUCCUUCCUGAUGAGCUGUAAUGCCAUUAAUUUGGUGUUGCGGGGAAUCUGGACUGUUACUUUGAAAAAAUUAGAGUGUUUAAAGCAGGCUAACGCCUGAAUACAUUAGCAUGGAAUAAUGAAAUAGGACGUUCGAUCCUAUUUUGUUGGUUUCUAGGAUUGACGUAAUGAUUAAUAGGGAUAGUUGGGGGCAUUAGUAUUCAAUUGUCAGAGGUGAAAUUCUUGGAUUUAUUGAAGACUAACUACCGCGAAAGCAUUUGCCAAGGAUGUUUUCAUUAAUCAAGAACGAAAGUUAGGGGAUCAAAGACGAUCAGAUACCGUCGUAGUCUUAACCAUAAACUAUGCCGACUAGGGAUCGGAUGAUGUUAAUUUUUUAAUGACUCAUUCGGCGCCUUACGGGAAAC